AUGCUGUUUUUUAGGGGUAUUGAUGUUAAUGCUCGGCCCCGCCAUGACGCCGCGCCCGUCGCCAACCGCCUCAACAAGUUCCCCCUCGUCGCCGCCUCCCUCGAGACAAGAGGCCUCGUGAAGGAGCAAAUUCGUUCCUUCAACUAUUUCGUCACCAAAAAAAUGCAGAAGAUUGUGAUGGCAAAUAACCGCAUCGUAGCACCCCAAGACCCGUCCAUCUAUCUUAGCACUGAUAUUUUGACACCGCAAUUCUGCCGUCUUAAUGCUCGCACUUAUGCUGCCCCCAUAAGGGUUGAUGUUGAAUACACUGCCUAUUUACGGGAUAAAACGCUGACGCUACGGGAGGAAAGUGCCACCAUUGGGUACAUGCCUAUUAUGCUCAGAAGCUGUUCUUGUGUUCUGAAUGGGAAGGAUGAAGAUGAACUAGCAAGAUAUGGCGAGUGCCCUCUUGAUCCUGGCGGCUACUUCAUUGUGAAAGGAAAUGAGAAGGUCAUUCUUAUACAAGAAGAAUUACCAAAGAAUCAUAUUAUUAUUAUGACCGAUCGUAAAGGAAGGGUGACUGCGUCGGUUAUGAGCAGUGCAGAUGGAAUAAAAAGCAAGACUCUAGUUGUCAUGGACAACAAAAAGAUCUAUCUAGAUUCGAAUCAAUUCACUAAGCUGAUUCCUAUAAUUGUUGUUUUGAAAGCAAUGGGAAUGGAAAGUGACCAAGAGGUUGUACAAAUGCUUGGACGAGAUCCAAGAUAUGGGGACUUACUAUUUUUAUCUAUUCAGGAAUGUGCCUCUGAGGGAAUAUAUACACAACAACAAGCUCUUCAGUACAUGGAUGGCAAGGUCCUACAUAAUCAUUUCCUGGCGCAUGUGCCGGUCAAGAAUGGGAACUUGCGAGCAAAGAGCAUAUACACUGGUGUAAUAUUAAGGCGCAUGAUGGACGCAGUCUUGAAUGCUGACACUUUUGAUGACAAGGAUUAUUUAGGAAAUAAGAGGCUGCAACUGUCUGGUGAACUAGUAUCCCUGCUCUUCGAGGAUCUGUUCAAAAGAAUGAAUUUGUUGGCUAUGGAUAUUAUGGGCAAAACUAUGAGCAACAAUACAAGUGAAGAUCGUGACGGAGUCCUGAAUUUUAAGCAGAUAAUAGAGAGGGCUUCUAACAUAACCUCUGGUAUGGAGUUGGCCAUUAACACAGGAAAUUGGAACACAGGACAAUUUGGUAUGAGUAGAAAAGGUGUAUCACAGACGCUUUCUAGGCUAUCCUAUAUGGCAUCUUUAGGCUACAUGACACGCAUAUCACAAGAAUUAGAGAAGACCCGGAAAACAAAUGGGCCCCGUGCAUUGCACCCUAGUCAGUGGGGUAUGCUUUGCCCAUGCGAUACUCCCGAAGGAGAACUUUGUGGAUUGACAAAAAAUUUAGCUUUGUUAACUCACAUUACAACAGAUCAAGAGGAUGAUGGCCCACUGAUGAAGCUGUGUUAUACUUUAGGUGUGGAAGAUUUAUCAAUUUUAUCUGCAGAAGAAGUUCAUGCAUCAGACUCAUUUCUGAUCAUGUUCAAUGGAUCAAUACUGGGGAAACAUAGGCAACCUCAGAGAUUUGCUGAUAAUAUGAGAAAACUGCGUCGGUUAAGCUCAUCUUGGGACUUUGUAAGCAUUUUUGUUAAUCAGAAGCAGCGUUGCAUUCACAUUGCCUCUGAUGGCGGUCGCGUUUGUCGUCCACUUUUAAUCGCUGAUUUGGGAAUAUCAAGGGUCCAAGACCAUCAUAUGCAGGAACUGAGGGCUGGUCAACUCUCAUUUGACGAUUUUCUGCGUUUUGGGUUGAUUGAAUAUCUUGAUGUCAAUGAAGAGAACAAUGCAUUGAUUGCAUUGUAUGAGCAUGAGGAUCAAGAUGAUGUUCAGAGAAGCAGAAUCACACACAUUGAAAUAGAGCCCUUGACUAUAUUAGGGGUUGUGGCUGGGCUUAUUCCUUAUCCACACCAUAACCAAUCUACACGUAACACUUACCAGUGUGCAAUGGGUAAGCAAGCAAUGGGAAAUAUUGCGUAUAAUCAGUUGUCCCGGGCAGAUUCUCUACAAUAUUUAUUAGUGUACGCGCAAUGUCCCCUGGUUACAACAAAAACAAUCGAGUUGGUGGGAUAUGAUAAGCUUGGGGCUGGGCAGAAUGCAACUGUUGCUGUCAUGAGUGAUAGUGGAUAUGAUAUUAAAGAUGCAAUUGUAUUCAAUAAAUCAUCCCUUGAUCGAGGUUUUGGUCGUUGCAUAAGAAUGAAAAGGUACACGGUGGCAAUGCAGAAGUAUGGGAAUAAUAGGUCAGAAAAGAAUGUUAAACCAGAGAGAGAUAAAGAUGAUAUUUUGAAGAAGCAGAAUAUGCAGGUUUUGGAUAAAGAUGGAUACGCCAAGCCAGGUCUAAUAAUCCGCGAUGGUGAUAUCUAUGUGAACAAGAAAACUCCCAAGAAUACUGCAAAAAGUCCUGGUGUUACAUCAACCGACAGGGACUAUGAAGACUACCCAGCUAUUUACAAAGGUGAUGAUGAUGAGACAACUGUAGUUGAUCGUGUAAUACUUUCCUCAGAUAGUAAUGACAACUUGACCAUCAAGUGUAUUAUCCGUCACACUAGGAGGCCAGAGGUCGGUGACAAAUUUAGUAGCAGACAUGGACAGAAAGGUGUUUGUGGUACCAUUCUUCAGCAGGAAGACUUCUCCUUCUCUGAGAGAGGAAUAUGCCCUGAUUUAGUUAUGAAUCCCCAUGGAUUUCCAAGUGGUAUGACGGUAGGACAAAUGCUUGAACUUCUUGGCGGAAAGGCUGGUGCAUCAUGUGAGCAAUUUUAUUAUGGCAGUGCAUUUGGUGAACCAAGUGGUAAUGCUAAUAAAGUUGAAGACAUGAGCUAUACUCUUGUCAAGCACGGCUUCAACUAUCAUGGAAAAGAUUUAUUGUACUCAGGCACUUUAGGCCACCCUCUUCAGGCAUAUAUCUUCAUGGGGCCAAUCUACUACCAGAAAUUGAAGCACAUGGUUCUUGAUAAGAUGCAUGCUCGAGCUUCUGGACCACGAGUUGCAUUGACCAGGCAACCUACUGGAGGGCCAAACAGCAAUGGAGGCCUGCGUCUUGGUGAGAUGGAGCGUGAUUGUUUAAUUGCGCAUGGUGCUAGUAUGGUGAUAUUUGAACGUCUAUUACUGUCGAGUGACCCAUAUCAAGUGCAGGUUUGCAGAAAAUGUGGUUUGUUAGGCUACUACAACCACAGACUCAAAACCUCCUUCUGUUCAUUUUGCAAAAGUGGAGAAAAUAUGCAGCAACUGAUGAUGCCCUAUGCCUGCAAGCUAUUGUUUCAGGAACUGACAGCGAUGAACAUCGUUCCAAGGUUAAAGCUAACCGAAGGAUAA
rnacentral:rRNA from 1 species